rnacentral:tRNA from 1 species
CAGGGAGACAACAAAAUGUUUAAUAUUAUUUUGUCACCUUAGGUCGAUCGGUAUCUCACGUUUUUAAUUUAUUAAGAAUUUCAUUUCCUAAGUUUUUCUAGGUCACACUCAUUAUUUUCCUGGGCCAUUAGCUCAGGUGGUUAGAGCGCACCCCUGAUAAGGGUGAGGUCCCUGGUUCAAGUCCAGGAUGGCCCAUAUCUCUAUGUUGGGGGUAUAGCUCAGUUGGUAGAGCGCCUGCUUUGCAUGCAGGAUGUCAGCGGUUCGAGUCCGCUUACCUCCACUGAUCACCACCUCUUCCAUAAUCGAUAGAAAGGAAAUGUUUUGAGUUGUGAUCUAAUUCUGAACGAAUCUAGCUUCCUAAUCAAAUUAUUAAGAUGCUGGACUCAUUGAAUUAAUUUCAUUGUUUUCAGAGAACCUUGACAACUGCAUAGAUUAUUUUUUAAAGACAAUAAGCAUCUUUUAAUGAUGCAGAUUUAUUAUUUGUGCGAAUGCAUUAAUAACAAUUCUAUUAAGCUGAUGCUUCAAUUUUGAAGUUAUU